rnacentral:rRNA from 1 species
GCGUAAUGGCCUCUAGCGACCCGUCUUGGAACACGGACCAAGGAGUCUAACAUCUACGCGAGUGUUCGGGUGUCAAACCCGUGCGCGAAGUGAAAGCGAACGGAGGUGGGAACCCGCAAGGGUGCACCAUCGACCGAUCCUGAAGUCUUCGGAUGGAUUUGAGUAAGAGCGUAGCUGUUGGGACCCGAAAGAUGGUGAACUA